GGCAACCCUGACGGAGCAACGCCGCGUGGGGGAGGAAGGUCUGUGGAUUGUAAACCCCUUUUCUCAGGGAAGAAGCUCUGACGGUACCUGAGGAAUCAGCAUCGGCUAACUCCGUGCCAGCAGCCGCGGUAAGACGGAGGAUGCAAGCGUUAUCCGGAAUUAUUGGGCGUAAAGCGUCCGUAGGCGGUUUUUCAAGUCUGCCGUUAAAGACUGCAGCUCAACUGUGGGUAAGCGGUGGAAACUGAGGAACUGGAGUACGGUAGGGGUAGAGGGAAUUCCCAGUGUAGCGGUGAAAUGCGUAGAUAUUGGGAAGAACACCAGUGGCGAAGGCGCUCUACUGGGCCGUAACUGACGCUGAGGGACGAAAGCUAGGGGAGCG
rnacentral:rRNA from 1 species